AUGGCGGCCCCCUGCUCGAGCCCAAGCCGGAGCAGGAGCCGCCGCUGUUGGCGGAGUACAGGGGCGGUGGCCAGCGAGCCCGGCGACCCUGCAGAACUGUCAGGGCUCCUCCGGGCGCUGCGCGAAUCGACAAAGGGGCUGCAACGCCACCCCGAUGACCCGGUGGACUCGUCGGAGCUGCGACAGGUGGUUGUCACCUCGGUGGCUAACGUUACCAUCGUCCUCAUGAGCGACGACGACGAGAACGAGAAGAAGGAGGAGGACGACAAGGACGAGAAGGAGGAGGAGGACGACAAAGUACUUCGUUGGCAGCGACAGCGGCUCCGACGUGGACGAUGA
rnacentral:rRNA from 1 species